AUUGAACGCUGGCGGCCGGCCUAACACAUGCAAGUCGAGCGAGCGGCGGACGGGUGAGUAAUGUCUGGGAAACUGCCGGAUGGAGGGGGAUAACUAAUGGAAACGGUAGCUAAUACCGCAUACCAUCAAAUGUGCCCAGAUGGGAUUAGCUAGUCGGGGGGGUAACGGCUCACCUAGUCGACGGUCCCUAGCUGGUCUGAGAGGAUGACCAGCCAAACUGGAACUUAUACACGGUCCAUACUCCUACGGGAGGCAGCAGUGGGGAAUAUUGCACAAUGGGCGCAAGCCUGAUGCAGCCAUGCCGCGUGUGUGAAGAAGGCCUUCGGGUUGUAAAACACUUUCAGCGGGGAGGCGUUACCCGCAGAAGAAGCACCGGCUAACUCCGUGCCAGCAGCCGCGGUAAUAC
rnacentral:rRNA from 1 species